AUGGGAACGCGAAGAACCUUACCUAGACUUGACAUCUUCUGCAUUAAUCGUAAUGGAUGAAAUCCCUUCGGGGACAGAAUGACAGGUGGUGCAUGGUUGUCGUCAGCUCGUGUCGUGAGAUGUUGGGUUAAGUCCCGCAACGAGCGCAACCCCUAUUAUUAGUUGCUAACAUUAAGUUGAGCACUCUAGUGAGACUGCCCGGGUUAACCGGGAGGAAGGUGGGGAUGACGUCAAAUCAUCAUGCCCCUUAUGUCUAGGGCUACACACGUGCUACAAUGGUGGGAACAAAGAGAUGCAAUACCGCAAGGUGGAGCUAAACUCAAAACCCCCAUCCCAGUUCGGAUUGUAGGCUGAAACUCGCCUACAUGAAGCUGGAGUUGCUAGUAAUCGCGAAUCAGAAUGUCGCGGUGAAUACGUUCCCGGGUC
rnacentral:rRNA from 1 species